rnacentral:lncRNA from 1 species
UUAUAGAAUGGGGGUCGCAAGCACUGAAAUCAACCUAAGACUAGUUACUAGUUUAGAUUGCAAUGUUGUCAUAUGUUUUGAACCAAGUGUUGUAAUGUUGUUUUGCUUAUGCAUCUUAGGGACUAGUUCUUCGUUAUGUAAUAAUGUUUUGCUUAUACAAGUGUUAGACAAACAUUUUAGUUCCUUCACUUACCUUACAUAAUG